rnacentral:rRNA from 1 species
GGAUGAACGUUGGCGGCGUGCCUGAGAUAUGCAAGUCGAGCGACCCCUCCGAUUCGGAGGGGAGCGGCGAACGGCUGAGUAACACGUAGGAACCUGCCCCUAAGUAGAGGAUAGUCCGCCGAAAGGCGGAGUAAUACUCGAUGGUUCCCCUCCGAUUCGGAGGGGUAAAGGAUCUAACCGUCCGCUUAGGGAGGGGCCUGCGGCCUAUCAGGUAGUUGGUAGGGUAACGGCCUACCAAGCCGAUGACGGGUAGCUGGCCUUAUGAGGGUGGUCAGCCAGAGGGGGACUGAGACACGGCCCCCACUCCUACGGGAGGCAGCAAUCAGGAAUCGUCGGCAAUGGGCGAAAGCCUGACCGCGCGACGCCGCGUGCGGGAAGAAGCUCUUCGGAGUGUAAACCGCUGUGGUAGGGGAGGAACCCUCGCCGUUGGCGGGGUUGACAGUACCCUACUAGAAAGGGGCCGCUAACUGCGUGCCAGAAGCGUCGGUAAUACGUGGGCCCCAAACGUUAUCCGGUGUCACUGGGCGUAAAGGGUCGUGUAGGCGUCCCGUCAAGUUUUACUUCAAAGACUAUGGCUCAACCAUAGGAAGGGGUAAAAAACUGACGGGAUAGAAUUCUCUCAAGGGGGACGGGAACUUGCGGAGGAGCAGUGAAAUGCGUUGAUACCGCAGGGAACACCAGUGGCGAAGGCGCGUCCCUUUCGAGGGAAUUGACGCUGAGACACGAAAGCUAGGGGAGCGAAGCAGAUUAGAGACCUGCGUAGUCCUAGCCGUAAACGCAUGUCUGCUAGCUGUGCUUUUCCUCGCCUCAUCGGCGGGUUAGGCAUGGCGAAGGUAACCCGUUAAGCAGACCGCCUGGGGACUACGGCCGCAAGGCUAAAACUCAAAGGAAUUGGCGGGGAGGCACACAACCAGUGGAACAUGUGGUUCAAUUCGAGACGAACCGAAGAACCUCACCAGGGCUUGACAUGCUACCGUUCACCCGAAAGGAAACUUUCGGGGAUCCGCAAGGAUGGUAGCACAGGUGCUGCAUGGCUGUCGUCAGCUCGUUCCGUGAGGAGUGCCCUUAAGUGGGACAACGAGCGCAACCCCCGUCCUGUGUUAGAAAUGUCACAGGAGACAGUCCCGCCCAUUGGCGGGAAGGAAGGAGGGGUAGACGUCAAGUCAGCAUGGCCCUUAUGCCCUGGGCUACACACAUGUUACAAUGGGAAGGACAGCGGGCUUUGCCACACCGUAAGGUGGAGCGAAUCCCUCAAAUCUUCCCCAAGUUGGGAUUGAGGUCUGCAACUCGACCUCAUGAACGCGGAAUUGGUAGUAAUCGCGGAUCAGUCAUGUCGCGGUGAAUACGUUCUUGCCUCUUGCACUCACCGCCCG